rnacentral:lncRNA from 1 species
ACAUAUCACAUAAUAUCCCUAUAUACUGACCAACCAACAAAUAAGCUUAGGUAGGACACACUAGCGAAGGAUUUACUCGUCUCUCCCCUCCUAGUUCUAUUCCCCAAUCUCCACCAGAGAUCAUAUCCCUAAGCUCUGAUACCAACUGUGACGCCCCCAAAAUAGGUAUACAUCACCCAUUUUGAGUCGUCAAUAACAUGGUACAAAAACAACUACAACUUUAUUAAUACAACA